AUUGCAAGUGACGAUGAAAAGACAGGGACAUCAGAGAUUCUCCGGUUAGGAAAAUUGAGAAUGAUGAUUAAUGUCUAAAUGGGAAUCUCUCUGAUGCACA
rfam:Brassica oleracea var. oleracea cultivar TO1000 chromosome C8, whole genome shotgun sequence